rnacentral:rRNA from 1 species
AGAAUCAACGCUGGCGGCGUGCCUCAGACAUGCAAGUCGAACGCGAAAGUCCCCUUCGGGGGACAAGUAGAGUGGCGCACGGGUGAGUAACACGUAGGUAAUCUACCUUCGGAUGGGGAAUAACAAUCGGAAACGGUUGCUAAUACCGCAUAAUGCAGCGGCACCUAAUGGUGACAGUUGUUAAAGCGGGGGAUCGAAAGACCUCGCGUCUGAAGAGGAGCCUGCGGCGGAUUAGCUAGUUGGUAAGGUAAUGGCUUACCAAGGCUACGAUCCGUAACC